AUGAGAGGUCAUGUGAAAGAAAGCACAGUUGUCCCAACUAAGGCUCUCCUAGGCCACCUCCCAGCCAGCCAACCCCUUACAUGUGAGAGAGCCAAGCCUAGAUCAGCAGACCUUCCUGCCAUCACACAGCUGUCUUCAGAUGUGUGGGUGAAACCAACUGAGACCACAGGAACCAUGCAGUUACCCUCAGUUCCAACGAGCAAGAAGAUUGGCUAUAAAAACUCCUGGGUAAAAUCAUCAUUCAAGAAGCCAAAGUUUCCUGAGGCCAUGAACAGCUACCAGCCACAAGGAAUGAUCCAUGGGAAUGAGGAAGCAACCCAAGAACCCAGUUUCUUGGAAGGCCAGUCUUUGAUGAUUAAAAGGGCAGGUACCACACUGUAUGCAUAAGGAGCUCCCCUUUCUGGGCCCGUGACAUUUCCCGCCAAAUCUGAAGUCCCUACUGUGAAGGAACUGUGAAAUACUGACUCCAGAUCCAGGUUUUCUUGUCUUCUGGAAACACAGAGCGGCUCCACUCCCAGACUGCAGCAGACUUCUCCUCCCUGCACAUUCAACCCCUGUAUUCUAACCACGGGUGCGAUUCCAAACUCUUACUAUACUUAUGGCCUUGUUCCUUGCACUAUGCUAAAACCUUAGGUUAACUAUGCUGUCCAUAUUCUGCACAUUCAUGUCUCUUAAAUAAAUACAUACUUUUUAUAUUGGAGAUUUCAAAUUGCCUACAAAGCAUGUCACACACAUGGUGAGGACUAGUCAAGUAUGAAAUAGUAUAGAGUAAAAGUGUUUCAAGGCAGACAAACUGACCUAAAUUUACAGACAAUUGUUUUUCAUUGUUAGGACUUCACUAAUGAUUGUAUUUGCUCCAUCUUGUCAAGGUGGAUCUGCCAUUUAUGUAAUCCAUUGAUCUACAGACAAGAAUUAAUUAUGGAACUCAGCAACUUCUGUCAAAAU
rnacentral:lncRNA from 1 species